AAUUGACGGGGCCGCACAAGCGUGGAGUAUGUGGUUUAAUUCGAUGCAACGCGAAGAACCUUACCUGGUCUUGACAUCCCGGAGACCCUUAGGAAACUAGGGGGUGCUUCCAUCUGGAAGAAUCUGGAGACAGGUGCUGCAUGGCUGUCGUCAGCUCGUGUCGUGAGAUGGUUGGGUUAAGUCCCGCAACGAGCGCCAACCCUUGCCUUUAGUUGCCAGCAGUUCGGCGUGGGCACUCUAAAGGGGACUGCCGGUGUUAAACCGGAGGAAGGUGGGGAUGACGUCAAGUCCUCAUGGCCUUUAUGACCAGGGCUACACACGUACUACAAUGGCCGAUACAAAGGGCAGCGACACUGCGAGGUGAAGCCAAUCCCGUAAAAUCGGUCUCAGUCCGGAUUGGAGUCUGCAACUCGACUCCAUGAAGUUGGAAUCGCUAGUAAUCGUGGAUCAGCAUGCCACGGUGAAUACGUUCCCGGGCCUU
rnacentral:rRNA from 1 species